CAAGAUCCUGCUGCUGGGCGCGGGCGAGAGUGGCAAGUCCACCUUCCUCAAGCAGAUGCGCAUCAUCCACGGCCGCGAGUUCGACCAGAAGGCGCUGCUCGACUUCCGAGCCACCAUCUACGAGAACAUCCUCAAGGGUUGCAGGGUUCUGGUUGAUGCCCGGGACAAACUAGGAAUCCCUUGGCAGUACACGGAGAACGAGAAGCAUGGAAUGUUUUUGAUGGCUUUUGAGAACAAAGCUGGAAUGCCCGUAGAGCCUGCCAUGUUCCAGUUGUAUGUACCUGCACUGAGCGCACUGUGGAGGGAUUCUGGGAUCAAGGAAGCUUUUAGUCGCCGAAGCGAGUAUCAGUUGGGUGAAUCGGUGAAAUACUUCCUGGAUAACCUGGAUCGGAUUGGCCAGCUGAAUUAUUUACCAAGCAAGCAAGAUAUUUUGCUGGCUAGGAAAGCUACCAAGGGAAUUGUAGAGCACGACUUCAUCAUUAAAAAAAUACCUUUCAAGAUGGUGGAUGUGGGUGGACAAAGGUCUCAGCGGCAGAAGUGGUUCCAGUGUUUUGAUGGUAUAACUUCAAUUCUGUUCAUGGUCUCCUCCAGUGAAUAUGAUCAGGUUCUCAUGGAAGACAGGCGCACAAACAGACUGGUGGAAUCCAUGAACAUCUUCGAGACAAUAGUCAAUAACAAGCUGUUCUUUAAUGUUUCUAUCAUCCUGUUCCUCAAUAAAAUGGAUCUUCUGAUAGAGAAGGUAAAGACUGUCAGCAUUAAGAAGCAUUUCUCGGACUUCAGGGGUGAUCCUCACCGGCUAGAAGAUGUUCAACGUUACCUGGUGCAGUGUUUUGACAGAAAAAGGCGAAACCGCAGUAAGCCACUCUUCCAUCACUUCACCACUGCCAUAGACACUGAAAACAUCCGCUUUGUGUUUCAUGCUGUGAAGGACACAAUCCUUCAAGAGAAUCUGAAGGAUAUCAUGUUGCAGUGAAAGAGUGCAGCCUUGUUUUAUUGCAGUCUACCAGAGUUAUAGCUCAAAGUUGGGUUUUUUUGUUCUGUUUUUGUUUUUAUCUUCGUGGCCCUUGCGUGUGGUUUAAGACCCAUGCUAUUUACUUGGCUCAGGAAUGCUGUAAAUUAGCCAGUCCAAACAGGCGCUAUAGGCAGAAGAAAUCAAACAAUCUUAGCUACUGAAUCAUUUGAACUAAUGACACUACUGAAAAGUGGCCAUUGUAGGUUUGAUGCCCAGUUGGAAUAGUGAAUAACAGUUACCUUCUGCCUUUAUAGAACAAUCUAAUUUCUUUGACAAACCAUGUAAGGAAGACACUUUUUAAUGGAAAUUACUCUGUAAGGACAGUAGCCAUACAGACUGCCUUUCUCUGUAGUUAGAAGGUGCUGAAUUCAUCGGUCUGACAUAAAUCAGAACAAGAUUGGUAGUUGUAUUGAAAAAUAAGCAGCAAGUUGAUCAAAAUUUUACACCCAGUCCUUAAACACAUAACCAGAUCUGCAUGCGUAUGCAGUGUUUGCCAAGGAUCUGGAGUCCCUUUGCCAAGGUGGAUGCACACGUCUUGUCUGAAGAUCUCGCAUCUAUAUCCAAAAACACAAGUCUAGGACUGUGUAAAGGAAACCCAGCAGGCCAGUUUGGGGUCAAAUGAAGAACUAAGGCCUGGUUGACGUGGACAAAGUUUUAUUUUGCACUACGUGUACUGUGUUUUACAUCCAUUGGGAAACUGACUUCGGUAGUACAGCUUUGAGGCCUCUACUAGAAUAUUUGACCACACAACUUCACUUAGUGGGUGCUCUAGUUCAGUGUUGAAUUUCUAGAAAUUUCACUUUUCUCUCACCUGCAGUUAGCAGUAUUUGUAAAGCUCCCAUCUCAGAUGGCAGGGCUUUAUCUGUCUUCAGUGUGGCAGCUGAUUUUAAGCUUUGCAAAAAAAAAUGGUUUUGGUAGUACAGCAGCUGCUUGAUCUGUUCCUAACUGCUUACCUUUAUAGGAAAACCGAACACACUACAGAGAUCCCAAUUCUACAGCUGCACUGAUUAUAUUUGCGCAGCAGGACUCUGCUGUAAAACUAGCCCUUAAUCCGUCUCUUAGUGGGAUUGUUAACCUAUCUUAAUGCACAUAUAGUUUAUAAAUAAGCAGUCAAGUCUAGAAUUGCCCAUUUUAGGCGAUGGUGUGUGUGUGUGUGUGUGUGUGUGUGUGUGUGUGUGUGUGUGUGUGUGUGUGUGUGUGUGUGUGUGUGUGUGUGUGUGUGUGUGAGUGAAAUUGCAAGAGGCUGUGAAUAAUGUUGAUGUGAACUGUUAAAUUCCUAGCUCUCUAAACUUUUGUAGUUACCUGUCAGGUGCCUUUCUUUGUGUACAAAUACUUCAAACUUGUCUGCUACAAUGAGGUACAUGAACAAAAUUCAGAUCUGCCUUUAUUUCAGUGCUGAAGUGUUGUCUUUCAGGGAACUUUCAAACUCAUGUUUACUGUGCAAUUGGUACCAUUAUAUUCAUUCUGUAAUAACAUUUUAAGGGCUGCCUCCACCUGUACUAAGUCAGCAAUAUCCCUUUGAGUUUUGUCCUCCUUGAGGCUGGAAUGGUAUGUCAGAAUAAGCAACCAUAACUGCUGCAGUUAAAUCUCCUGGGAAAUGUUUUUCUAUAAAGAACUCCAGAACCAGGGUCCUGUUGUGCUUUUUAGCUUGGAUAAAAUCUGGAAUCCUGUUUCCUUUGUGGUUUGCAGAAGUUCCUAUCAGGAUUUGUUUUGUGAAUAGAGCUUCCUAAUGCAGAAAAAAUACUUGUCGUUUUCUUUCUGCAGGCCUCAGGAGUGGAAAAGGAUGUGGUGGCGUUAGUGCUGUAUAAUGCAAAUAAAGUGUUGGUAAAGUAAACUGCUGGUCCAAGAACAGGGAACUGCUGAGGAACUUUUCUUACUCCACAAAUCAAGAUUGCAGUGCAUCUCUCUCAGCUUUGGUAGAAGAUCUGGUGUGGUUCUCAUGAAAACCAGUAUCCUUGAUGAUCAUUGACACUCCCUGCAGUUGGUUGACAAGCUUGAUAUUGGACCUGACUGUGAAGGUGCUGCAUAGCAAGAGCUGUACAAAUUCAUUAACUUUAUCAAAAGCCAUCACCAUGACUUUGGGUACACAUAUGGAAAACUUGGUCUAGCUGCUUUUUUUGUGGUUAUGGUUUUAAAAAGAGAGAGACUGGAAUAGGGUAAGCCUAGAUGUUAUGAUAUUUCACUGACUGCUGCAGGGAGUUCAGCACAUGGCUGUUUUUGCUUUGAACCUAAUACAUUUGAUGCACAGUUCAAAUAUCUUAUGAAAGCAGCCUACAGAAGCAGCCUGUAUUGGGUAGAUCUGCAACUUAGACAAACUUUGUCCCAGAAUGUUUUGUCCAGAUACAAUGGGACUUGAUUGAAGAAUUUCAGUGGAAGACCACAGCAGUCACCCCAGCAGGUUCUUCUCUUGCUGGAGUCUGGAUGAAUAAAUGUUGUUUAAUUGGCAAAUUAUAUUUACCUGGCUAAGAACUAUUUAAAUACACACCCUGCUUUUUUCAGUACUGGAUUAUCCAGAGCUACAGUUCAGCAAAGCCAGAAGUCUGUAAUUAAUUUACUAAUGCUGAAUUCAAGCAGCCAAACUUGAUCUCCUGCUCAGUUCUCUUAUAAGAAACCAGUAGUAGCUUUAUUUUCCACUGACAUCCUGGAGACCACUUGCAGGUAAACACAGCUGGGCAAGAAAGCUCUUUUAGUAACUUUUGUUGGGUUAUUGUUCAUCCAAGUAGGCAGGAAACAGUUUUUCCUGUAACCCAUAAUCAGAUGGAAGAUUUGAAUGUAUACUUAAAAAAAAAAAAAUCAUCCAGAUCUCUUCACUAUUCCUUGUGUGUCACUUGUAGAUCAUUGACAAGGUUGUUCCAUGUGUGGUGUCUCCCGCAAGGACAAAGAGAGGAAAUGCUUGCAGCAUGUUAAAGGAGGCAACCCUUAUGUAAACUAGCAAUAAAUAAAACAGUGACAGAUUAGAGGCUUGUACUAAACAGGGCUUUAUUAUCCUGUGUCUUCAAAAUGGUGAGCUUGGCACAAGACACCUUUAAGUCAUGGGUAAUUACCACUCUCAAAAAAGCUGACCAGGAAGUUGUACCCUGAGCCAACCACAUUUUGGGGGGCAGUUAGUACUCCAGAAUUACCAAAUGAUUUACUUGGCGGAUGGGUUUUAAAUGUUGGAUUGUUUACUUAAAAGCUUACUUCACAGUUGUAUUUAAGUGACACGUUUAAUAGGCCAGUGCUGUUUUUAACAAGCCAUUAAACCAGACUCCUGAGAUGUGGAGGGAGCAAGAGGUCUUGACAGUGAAGGUUUAAUGGAGUUAAGCAUAACAGCCGCUUGACUUUAAAUUACAGCUCCUUAGAAUGUGUCUAGUUCUCAUCAACGUUAAACAUCGGAUUCCCGUUUCACACGAUACAGCGGAGCAGAACUGAGCGUGCUGACUUUGUGUAAUUACACGUUUAAAAGUCUCCUGUCAAAUCUUGAGCGAGGCUCAAACGUGUCCAAAGGAGCUUCUGAAGCCAGCCCCUUCUGCUAGUUUUUUUCAAAGCUAACAGUGGGUUAACAGUGCUGGCUGAGGUUCAGCUGGAGCGGGGAGCAUUUGUAGUUCAGAGGUUCUGGUUUGGAAGGAGCUCUGGGAGUGUGGGAGGAGCUCGUGAAGCUGAUUAUGUGGCCAUGCAGGCUACAGUUUCACUGUGUUGGAGCCCCGACAGCAGCUGAAAUGGAGUCGCUGGUGUGAAAAGCAGCCUCCCAUCAAUGCAUUUGCAGCACUAACUUCCUUUUUCCCAGGGAGGGGUGGGGAAGGGUGUCACAAGGAUUGUAGGGGGUUAUGCAAGCAAUGAGAAGGUGUCACAUUUUGAUGGGGUUUUAAUUUUUCUAGUUCAUGUCUUGUGCACAGGCUUUUUCCUUCCCCCCUCCCCUCCCCUUCCCUCUACAGUCUAGCCUUUGUUUAAUGCUGGCUGUCUAAACGCUAGAGAAAAUGGAUGUUUAACAUCACUGUUUACAUGGGGCCUGGUUUCUGUGUGCUUCAGAGCCCUCUUGUGUUUCCCAUACAUGUAUCUUAUCCAAGGCUGGCAAAAGUUUGCGUCUUGCUCAGCAAGUCUCGGUCUAGAGGAACUUCUCUUUGCAUUCCUUGCUUUUCAGUAUCUUUGCUGGCAGCCAUUGUUACGCUUUUGGGGUGAGGCUGCUUACACUGGCUAGGAGGAAAUGGGGCUGCAAGGAGCUGCCCCUCAAAAUUCAUCCAUGG